AACAAGCACAUAAAUCUCCUCUUGCAUACAGAAAGCCAAGGGCAUAGCAGAGGAAGAGUUCUCAACAAAGUGAACUGAAAGGUGAAUUGCCUACAAAGCCAGACUGAAAAGUCCAGACUACAUCCCGUAAGCAUAAGGAGCUACCCACGAAGUUUUUAGUAAGCUGAAAUGAAGGUGCUGGAAGAUGAAAAAGGAGCUGUUGAAGUUGUAUGCAACAUUUUCACCCUAUUCCUUGGAUUUCUGCCUAACAAUAGCCUAGAAGCUAUGACAGCAAGUGGCAACGAAUAUACCAAGUAUCCUGGUGUGGGUUUCUAAAUACCAUUCUCUACUAAAAGAAUCUGGAGUUUCUUGAAAAAAUGGCUGACUGACAAGCUAGGUAAGUAUAAAAUAAGUCUGAAAUCCAUUUUUGUCCCAAAAGUGCUCAAAGAAUAACUACAGUAUGGGAAAAAGAUAUAGAAGUCAGUGUAAAAGAGUUGCCACUGGCAAACUCUGGGAAAUAAUGACAGUGACUGGUUAUAGCCCACUAACCAAAAUAAGAAUCCAUGAAUCCACACUGAUAUAAACAAACAGACAAGAAAAUAAAGUUCUAUUUUAUAUACAAUGGUGAUAUCAUUUGACUGUGUCCCCACCCAAAUCUCAUGUUGAAUUGUAGCUCCCAUAAUCCCCAUGUGUCAUGGGAGGCAAUUGAAUCAUGGGGGCAGGUUUUCCCAUGCUGUUCUCAUGAUAGGGAAUAAGU